CUACCAUUAACCCUGACGGUCAAUAGUUAACAGAGCAUCCUACGUGACCGUUAAGAAGCCAGGGUGACACAACUGUUUAACACUACCAUGGAGACAAAAAAGUAAAAAGACUAAAUAAAAAUAAAAAAUGUACAGGAAAAUAAAAGAGGGGUGGCUGUCGUUAUCUUCUUCACCAUAGACGGUCCUAAUUGCUGCACAGGGUCGAAGGAGAAGGACGACAUGGUUUUGUGGUGAAAGACCUGUGCUCCAAACGUCGUUGAUGCCGGAGAAGACCUACACACUACAAGAAUGAAGAACAAAGUCUCUGUUUUGAAGGAGAAAGUGUACUAUGCUAAGAAGAAAUUCAUGGUAGCAUUUGCUUUAUUUGGAGAUCGUUUGGUGAAUGAUGACAUUUUUCUUACUAUAAAAAAGAGUCACAAGUGUUAGGCACAUGAGGCUACCAUACAUGUGAAGUAAUGGCUUUGAAGGACAGAAUGUUUAGGUCUACGGGAUUUGGGAUUUUAUUUUGGAAAAGUGUAAUGUAUAGCCCAAGGGCUAUGUGGUUUAGCAACAUGAAUUUGUACACCCUUUUGAUGAAGAACUGAGAAAUGAUUGUGAUUCAUAUUGUAAAA